rnacentral:rRNA from 1 species
CGCUGGCGGCAGCUUACACAUGCCUGUUUAAUCGGGGAAGUGGUAGCUUGCCCCCUAGACCGUAACGGCGGACGGGUGAGUAAUGCUUAGGAAUCUUGCCUAUUCAGUGGGGGACAAACGUUUCGAAAAGGAACGCUAAUACCGCAUACGUCCUACGCGGAGAAAGCACGGGGAUCAUUUGACCUUGUGCUAAUAGAUGAGCCUAAGUCGGAUUAGACUAGAUUGGUGGGGUAAAGGCCUACCAAGCUGACAGAUCUGUAGCGGGUCUGAGAGGAUGAUCCGCCACACUGGGACUGAGACACAGGCCACGACUCCUACGGGAGGCCAGCAGUGGGGAAUAUUUGGACAAUGGGCGAAAGCCUGAUCCAAGCCAUGCCGCGUGUGUGAAGAAAGCCUUUUGGUUGUAAAGCACUUUAAGCGAGAGAGAGAGGCUUCUUUUGGUUAAUAACCCAAGUAAGUGGACGUUACUCGCAGAAUAAGCACCGGCUAACUCUGUGCCAGCAGCCGCGGUAAUACAGAGGGUGCAAAGCGUUAAUCGGAUUUACUGGGCGUAAAGCGUGCGUAAGCGGCUAAUUAACGUCACACAUGUUGAAAUCCCCGAGCUUAACUUGGGAAUUGCAUUCGAUACUGGUUAGCUAGAGAUAUGGGACGAGGACUGGUCGAAUUCCCGGUGUCACCGGUGGAAAUGCGUAAAGAUCUAGGAGGGAAUUACCCGAAUGGGGGAAAAGGGAGGACCAUUCUGGGCCCUAAUUAACUGAACGCUUAGUUCCAAACAGCCAUUGGGGACAGCCAAACCGGCAUUUAGAAUACCCCUGGGUAGUCCAACGCCCGUAAAACACAAUGUUACUACCGUUGGGGGCCUUUGAGACCUUCUUGGGGCAGCCCAGCGAAAUAACCGCACUGCGAAUCCGUCGCAAAAUAAAU